rnacentral:rRNA from 1 species
GCAUGGUUGUCGUCAGCUCGUGUCGUGAGAUGUUGGUUAAGUCCCGCAACGAGCGCAACCCCUAUUGUUAGUUGCCAUCAUUCAGUUGGGCACUCUAGCGAGACUGCCGGUAAUAAACCGGAGGAAGGUGGGGAUGACGUCAAAUCAUCAUGCCCCUUAUGACCUGGGCUACACACGUGCUACAAUGGUUGGUACAACGAGUUGCGAGUCGGUGACGGCGAGCUAAUCUCUUAAAGCCAAUCUCAGUUCGGAUUGUAGGCUGCAACUCGCCUACAUGAAGUCGGAAUCGCUAGUAAUCGCGGAUCAGCACGCCGCGGUGAAUACGUUCCCGGGCCUU